rnacentral:rRNA from 1 species
UACGUAGGUGGCAAGCGUUGUUCGGAUUUACUGGGCGUAAAGGGCGCGUAGGCGGUCAGCACAAGUCAGUUGUGAAAUCUCCGGGCUUAACUCGGAAAGGUCAACUGAUACUGUGCGACUAGAGUGCAGAAGGGGCAACUGGAAUUCUCGGUGUAGCGGUGAAAUGCGUAGAUAUCGAGAGGAACACCUGCGGCGAAGGCGGGUUGCUGGGCUGACACUGACGCUGAGGAGCGAAAGCGUGGGGAGCGAACAGG